UGGGUUGUGGCUCAGUGGUAGAGCACUUAUCUAGCAUAUGGGAGGCCCUGGGUUCGAUCCUCAGCACCACAU
rfam:Ictidomys tridecemlineatus contig083056, whole genome shotgun sequence.